UUGCAUCCUGGCCAUUCUGACUGAAGCAUCUGUGGCUCAAAUGGCCCCAAGUACAGCUCAGAUCACUGCUCUGGAGGCCCAGAUGGCUACAAGCCUGUACAGAAUGUUAUGACACUGUAUACUGGAGGCAACUCUAACACAAUGACCCUUUAUCAGGAAAAGCAGUGCUUGUGCAUUCUUCCAAAAGUAUUCUGAUAAGUUUCUCACAUACAACAUUGAGAAGAAAAACUGAUUUUGAGGAGAGCUGUAGGUUAUUGUACAUGAAUCACUCCUACUAAGAGAUCCUGAAAGAGGUCAUCAAAGCCACCAGAAACUAUUCCUGGACAGAGGAGGUUUUAUAGGUGUGGUUGGUCUCCUUACUGACGUGUCAACUACAAAUGCACAGGGUUCUGCCUGAAAUGUUUUAGUUGUUGCAGAUGUGUAGCUUCUAUAUGUAAAGUCUUCACUGCACGUGCUACAGAAACUUGAACUAUCUGAAGAGAGGAUGGAGUCAUCAGAUACUGGAUCCAGUCAAAAUAUUUGGAUGCUUUCAGAAACAUCUGCCUAGCUGAGAUGUGGGGAAGGAACAUAAAGCAUUUUCUCUCCCAGUCCCUGCUGAAAGGGAACAAGAAGACUAAGCAAUAAGUGAGAAAAGAAAUGAUGGAAUAGAUGUGAGGCUUCCACAGCAAACUCCUGUAAAACCUGCAGUUAAACCUGAGCAAGAGGAAUGUGACAUAUGUGUCUUUGCUCUUUAUUUGGAUCUGUGUGUAUGCUCUUGGAGCAGUGGCGAAGAAGCUCCAGGGUAAUCUAAAAACCAAAAUAAAUGCCUUGAGAUCUUUUCUGGGAAUGAAAAAAUACAAAGACAAGCUAAGAAGCUGGAGCAGGAAAUUGACUUCAAACUCUGCUUGGAGAAUCACCAGCUGCAAAACUGUAUGGGGCAAAUUUCUCAUAAGAGUAUAGAGGAUGUGACACUGUACAGAGUUCACACUCAUGACUCAAUGAUGAAAUGGAAACCAGGAAGACCUGAUUAUGCAUGUCUGUGAAACUCACCCAUGCCAUCUGGAAAGGAAAAAGUUAAGUUGCAUUUCUGCAAUACAUUCUCUCCCUUCCCUGAGCUGCUCCUGGAAUAUAAAGAAAGCAAGUGAGUUGAACUAAUCCUCUUAUAAACAUACUAAUGAUAAAUCUCCCAGUAAAACAACAACAAUAACAAUAAAGGUCUUCUGCUAACAAAAGAGUCUUUUCCUAUGUGAAGUUUUAGUAGAAUGUGCUUAAUUGUCUAGAAUUAUUUAUAGUAAGCAAACAGAAGUAUAUGGACUUACGCAUAAUGGCUCCUUGGAAAAUGUUAUAUUAUAUAUGUAACUCUUUCUGUAGAAAAUAUCUGUCUCCUUUCAUGAAAGUGAG
rnacentral:lncRNA from 1 species